UCGAAUGUGGUGUAUGGUGCACAUCAACCUCUCAAAGCUUCAUGUGUGGUGCCCGAAGAAUAGGCUGCUGGAGACCAGGGUUCGACUCCCUGCAUCUGAA